rnacentral:misc_RNA from 1 species
GAUGAAGAACGUAGCGAAAUGCGAUACGUAAUGUGAAUUGCAGAAUUCAGUGAAUCAUCGAGUCUUUGAACGCACAUUGCGCCCCCUGGUAUUCCGGAGGGCAUGCCUGUCCGAGCGUCAUUGCUGCCCUCAAGCACGGCUUGUGUGUUGGGCCCCGCCCCCCGAUCCCGGGGGGCGGGCCCGAAAGGCAGCGGCGGCACCGCGUCCGGUCCUCGAGCGUAUGGGGCUUUGUCACCCGCUCUGUAGGCCCGGCCGGCGCCUGCCGAUCAACCAAACUUUUUUCCAGGUUGACCUCGGAUCAGGUAGGGAUACCCGCUGAACUUAAGCAUAUCAAUAAGCGGAGGA